rnacentral:lncRNA from 1 species
UCGCCGAGAUGUUCCGGCAAAUCUCGCCGGAGCUGCUGUGGCUCGGGGAGUUGAGGGAUCAUCUCAUAAGUGAAGCCAUCCACAAAAGACUCAGGAACACCUCCGGAUUAUCGAGCGAUGUGAUUCAGUUUUUGUACCAAAUCGAUAACGUCAACGCCAGGGAUCAAACAUUAAUUAUUCUCAAGAAAAUCCUACAGACCGGAGACAUCACCGAACAGAAAACUGUGGAGCUCGCCCAUAGGAUACUCGGCCUCCUCGAGUCCCCGCGCAGUAAAUUGUCGCAAAUAAUCGCACGCUGCACCUCCAUCCGUUACUCGUAGGAUUUCUGUAGUAAAAAUUAGGACUUUUGUAAUUUUUUAAGAAAUGAAAUAUUGGUUAAAAAAUAUGUUUGCAGGUUUCUUCUUAAUGCAGGUAGAUCUUUUUGAGAUCUCUCAGUAAAAAAACAAUUCAACGAUCCUUUCAGAAAUUGUAGACAAUUGAAGGUUUUUGAACCCCCCCCCCCCACAGCCCUCUUGAGUCCUCCCAUAAAGGAGCAGUCCUGAGACAAUACAAGCAGGACAAGACCUAAGCAGUCCAUAGAGGGACUUAUAGGGUGCGGCUUAUUUUCGUCAUGUCGGAAAAUCGACGAGGUCCGGGUGGCAAUCGAUGCUAUCUAUGAAAAUAUAAUAGGCUGUAUUGAAUUUGAGCCAAUUUGGAGCUUUUUUAGCUGAUGUUCAAAGGGAUCAAAACCAAGGAGCAAAAUUACAUUGGUUUAAAUGGGCGGAAAAACGCCUGAUCUGCGAAAAUGCGUUUCUAGGAUCUAAAAUGCGCUUAAAUGAAGAAAACCUGACCAGCUCUUAGAGAGGCAUCUAGGAGCCCAUUCGAAACGAGAAAAUCACACUUUCGACCCAUGGGUGAGAGUAGGGGGGAUCACUCGAUUGCAAGAUAAAAUAUAUACACAAAUUUCGUUCCAGGCUCGAGAAAUAGUAUGGGUGGCAAUAUUGCAAAGGGCCAAGUAUAGUUCUCAAGGGCUAAAACAACCAUUAUACAUUAUUUCUCAUCAAGUUGUGAGAUACAUUUGCCUCUUUAACUUCGGAACACUUAUUUUGAGUUCGAUCAAAAAGUCUCAAAAGCGAUCUUUUAGCUGCGGGUGCGGCACCUCAAAACCGGCUACACCGUGACCCCCCAUCCCCACUCAUGGGUCAAAAGUGUGAUUUGCUCGUUUCGAAUGGGUUCCUAGAUGCCUCUCUAAGAGCUGGUCAGGUUUUCUUCAUUUAAACGCAUUUUCGCAGAUCAGGCGUUUUUCCGCCCAUUUAAACCAAUGUAAUUUUGCCCCUUAGUUUUGAUCCCUUUGAACAUCAGCUAAAAAAGCUUCAAAUUGGCUCAAAUUUAAUACAGCCUAUUAUAUUCAUAGAUAUCAUCGAUUGCCACCCGGACCUCGUCGAUUUUCCGACAUGACGAAAAUAAGCCGCACCCUACGGGACCUGCUCCUCUGUGGG